CUCCAAUUUACAGGGGAUGCAGGAUACAGAGGAACAAAUGAAGUGACACCCCCAGAAGGCAACACUCAGAUGAAUCCAGAAGGGUCACCAGCCUGGCAGUCACAGAAAACGCAUUUGGCAACUUCCUGCAACUGUUGUGGAAAUGACAGCAGGCCAUGGUCCAAGCCAAAAUGGAGAAGCCAGGCCUCGCAGAAGAAACCAGCAGGCAGCUCUGGGAGGCCAUUUGCACAGAGCUUAUUUUGAAGUCUUGGGGUUCAAAUCCCAACUCUGCCUCUAGAUAGUCACAACCCACUGGAUAGAGAAUAGUUCAAGCAGAAUGUAAUUUGAGACUAACAAAGGUGCGCCCAGGAUAUAAGGAAACCACAUAAGCUAAUGUUGACCCAUGAAGCACCCCCUACACCUGAUGGGGCAGGCAGGAAGCGGUUACCAGAGCCCAGAAAGUCAGGUGGGGAAGCACUUGAGGGGCUGUGGCCUUAGACAGAGGCAGCCAGGCUGAGGCAUGUGCCUUAGGGGAGCACACAUCUCAGCCUCACCCUCCCUGCCUCCUGGGGAACCUUGAGGCCACCAGACAAGGAGCCAUUAAUGCAGUUCACGCUCCCAGGAGCAUUGAGCAGAGAGGAGCAGAGAGGACAAGGGUGAGAAGGGGAUCGGAGGCGCUAAGGAAGACACUGGCAGAGCCAUUUAUUGUGCAUCUGAGGCAAGUCACUUCCCCUGCCCAAUCUGUUUCCUUGUCUGUAAAACUGGGAUGUUACCUCACUCACUUGAGGUGAGGAAUAAAUUAUUUAAAACAUAUAAUGGUGGCUCACACCAGUAAUCCCAAUACUUUGGGAGGUUGAGGCAGGAGGAUCGCUUGAGCCCAGGAGAGAUCAGCCUGGGAAACAAAGGGAGACACUGUCUCUACAAAAAAAUAGAAAAAUUAGCCGGGCACAGUAGCACAAACCUGUAGUCCCAGCUAUUCGGGAGGCUGAGGCAGGAGGCUCGCUUGAGCCCAGGAGUUUGAGGCUGCAGUGAGCUGCGAUCACACCACUGCACUCCAGCGUGGGUGACAGAGUGAGACUCUGUCUCAAAAAAUAAAUAAAUAAAAAUAAAACGUGGAAAGUACCUAGCAUGAAGCCCAGUAGGAAAUUUUUUAAAAGGCAGUUGUUGUUAUUAUAACUCAAGUGGGGAGAAAUCAGGCUGAGAGAGGUACAUUAGAGUUGGCUGAAAGGUACGACAGCGAGGGAUGUUUGAGGCAGCCUAACAUACACUAUGAUAAAUACCACCACACUCAACAAGCAGCCUCUCUCCCUGUAAAAACAUCAGGUCAACCUGGGCAGAGGCAGAAGACUGCACAUGCUGCCAUUUUAACAUCAAGGCAAAAAAAAAAAGUUCUCACUCACUUGGCCCACUCCCAUCUCAACCCUUCCUACCCACACAGUGGGGCCAGUCUAUUUUAGCAAAAGACCAUUUAGUUAAAGGAGGCUGACAAGGAAAGGAUCCAGAUUUCUCCUUUUCUGUCUUUUAAAAAAAGCCACAGAUAUAAAUAAGCCCAAGACCGUCUGUUUCUGCCACCUUCUAAACAGACCUGUGAUGAAUUAAUAUCAGGACCAUGGGAGACUGUGACCGAAGGAUGGGUUAGGCUGGCCGCAGACCCAGCCAAUUCCACAAGCCCAGGCUUUGAAGCCAGUUUGGAAACUAGCCAUCAGGAAACUCCACAAACCUCAAUUUAUCCCAGACAAUUUUGGAGGAAAAACCCAAGUCAGCAAAGAAUAUGGAAAUUACUGAGAAGGUACGAGGUCCACGGAGGCUGCAUCUUAAAGAAUGAUU
rnacentral:lncRNA from 10 species